GAUGAACGCUAGCUACAGGCUUAACACAUGCAAGUCGAGGGACCGGCGCACGGGUGAGUAACACGUAUCCAACCUGCCCUUUACUCCGGGAUAGCCUUUCGAAAGAAAGAUUAAUACCCGAUAUAAAGGACGGGGUUGCGUUCCAUUAGGUUGUUGGUGAGGUAACGGCUCACCACACCUUCGAUGGAUAGGGGUUCGGAGAGUAAGGGCCCCUGCAUUGGAACUGGUACACGGUCCAAACUCUUACGUGACGCAGCAGGGAGGAAUAUUGGUCAAUGGGCGCUAGCCUGAGCCAGCCAAGUAGCGUGAAGGAUGAAGGCUUAUGGGUCGUAAACUUCUUUUAUAGAAGAAUAUGUAUUAUAUGAAUAAGGAUCGGCUAACUCCGUGCCAGCAGCCGCGGUAAUUC
rnacentral:rRNA from 1 species